rnacentral:rRNA from 1 species
UACGGGGGGGGCAAGCGUUGUUCGGAAUUACUGGGCGUAAAGGGCGUGUAGGCGGCCAACUAAGUCCGACGUGAAAUCCCCAGGCUUAACCUGGGAACUGCGUCGGAUACUGGAUGGCUUGAAUUCGGGAGAGGGAUGCAGAAUUCCAGGUGUAGCGGUGAAAUGCGUAGAUAUCUGGAGGAAUACCGGUGGCGAAGGCGGCAUCCUGGACCGGCAUUGACGCUGAGGAGCGAAAGCCAGGGGAGCAAACGGG